UUUCCGUAGGUGAACCUGCGGAAGGAUCAUUAACGAGUUGUCAUGGGGUACGAUUCUGGCAGCUAGCUUUUGGAUUCAUGUGCUUGCCCUAAUAAUUAUCUUCUUCCAAACUCCUUUGCACAUUUUUGAGGGAGUCUAUCGUUUGUUGCCGUUCUUGUGUGAUUUCCCCACAUUCUCUUAACUCACUAUACGCUAUUUACAAUGUUGAACGACCUCUUUUCCGCAAGGUGAUUAAUAUAAUUUAAAUUUUAACAACGGUUCUUUUGGCUCUCGCAUCGG
rnacentral:misc_RNA from 1 species